UACGGAGGGUGCAAGCGUUAUCCGGAUUUACUGGGUUUAAAGGGUGCGUAGGCGGGCUUUUAAGUCAGCGGUGAAAUCUCUGGGCUCAACUCAGAAAUUGCCGUUGAUACUAUUAGUCUUGAAUAAUGUUGAGGUGGGCGGAAUGUGUCAUGUAGCGGUGAAAUGCUUAGAUAUGACACAGAACACCGAUUGCGAAGGCAGCUCGCUAAACAUUUAUUGACGCUGAGGCACGAAAGCGUGGGGAUCAAACAGG
rnacentral:rRNA from 1 species